GUCUGUUAGGCAUUUUAUUCCAAAAUACAUAAAACUAAUGCUGUAUUCUAAUUUGCUUCUUGAUUUGUAAAAUGCAGUUCUGUGAAAUUCAGAUUUUCUCAAAAGUCAAGCUAUACAUUGUUUAUGAUUUGCUUGAUUUGUCAAAACCAGCAUAUAGGCAGAUAGGUAUAAAUUUACAGAAUAAUUUAUUCUGUUUUGUGUAAUUCAGAAUCCUUGGAACAUAUAUAUAUAUAUAUAUAUAUAUAUAUAUAUAUAUUGAUCUUCGAUAAAUGUGCUCUUUUAUAUAAGCAAAGUAUAGGUUAAGCAUUGCAUUUUAUUUAAAGAUUUGUAAAUGACUUGACUUUUUCAAUGAAUACAUGUUUAGUUGAUCUUGUUCCCGGUUAUAACCCUUACAAUGAGAAUAUCCCAAAACUCAACACAUGGAGCAUCACUUAAUUGCAAAAUUUCAAAAUGUUAUUCAUUCAACUGGUAAUGGUGAGGUGAAUUGCAACUUUUUUAGGACAAAAUAGAGAAAUUUAAAACAUACUUUCUCCAACUUUUUGCAGCUUUUCUGUUAUAAUGUUAAAUUCCUUGUCAUUUCCCCCCACAAAGAUGAGUUUAAUUUAAUGCUACAUAUUAAUCUUUCAUGAGAGCUAUACAUCAGGUUUGCUUAUUUUUAUAUCUUCGAUGUUGAGAAACACAGUAUAUGAUAUUCUUUGAGGCAGAGGUAUUAUACUCUGACAGAUUGUUUUCAGUCUUGAAACUAAACUUAUUGUACAGAGACCUGCAUUUUACCUUUGGGAGUACAUUUCAUAUACAAUGUUAUUAAGGGUCACAAAUGCCAACUCUCUGAAAUAACUUGUGCUGCACUGUUUGGUAUUAUAUAAUGUUACUUGGCUGAUUAUUUAUUAAACACUGAAGUUUUAAAACUCCGAUAGUUUCCUAAGACCUACUUUAACCUGGUUUAGGAAAUGAAAAUAGUUUUAAUGAUUAGGAUAAAAUAAUGCAGAUCAAGUUAAUAGAAAUCAAGGUCAUCAAGUAAGUCUUGGCUUCUGAAGAUAUUGUUUAGAUAGAUAAUUAGUCAUCUGAACAAACAAGUACUUGAAUUACUUAAAAACUAACAAUAAUACCAGGACUUAUGACAGGGUAGAUAGUAGCGUUGAGUAGAAAUUAUGAGUAAUAUGGAUACACUUCAAGGGGUGUCUUUUUGGUCCA